CCCCUCUCAGAGUCACACCUGGAGAGUUUCCGUUGCUCUACCAGUCUCGACUAUGGGAGGGAGAGUCAAGCAGAGGCCUACUCCUUCCAUUCCUAGGUUGGGCAGUGGCUAGCAAGUGGAAGGCAAUCUGCUACAAAU